rnacentral:rRNA from 1 species
UACGUAGGGUGCAAGCGUUGUCCGGAAUUAUUGGGCGUAAAGAGCUCGUAGGCGGCUUGUCGCGUCGACUGUGAAAUCCCGCGGCUCAACUGCGGGUCUGCAGUCGAUACGGGCAGGCUAGAGUUCGGUAGGGGAGACUGGAAUUCCUGGUGUAGCGGUGAAAUGCGCAGAUAUCAGGAGGAGCACCGGUGGCGAAGGCGGGUCUCUGGGCCGAUACUGACGCUGAGGAGCGAAAGCGUGGGGAGCGAACAGG